rnacentral:rRNA from 1 species
GAUGAACGCUGGCGGCGUGCCUUAUACAUGCAAGUCGAGUGGGUUUAGACCCACGGCAAACGGGUGAGUAACACGUAGGUCCUUUCCUUGUCACAGGAAUAACCCUCCGAAAGGAGGGCUAAUACCUGAUGUGAUCGCAAGAUUAAAGGGUAUCCGCAAGGAUUACCGGACAAGAAGAGGCCUGCGGCCUAUCAGCUAGUUGGCGGGGUAAAUGCCCACCAAGGCUAUGACGGGUAGCUGGUCUUAUGAGGAUGAUCAGUCACAUGGGCACUGAGACACGGGCCCAACUCCUACGGGAGGCAGCAGUAGGGAAUUUUGCGCAAUGGGCGAAAGCCUGACGCAGCGACGCCGCGUGCGGGAUGAAGGCCUUCGGGUCGUAAACCGCUUUUAUAAGGGACGAACUUUGACGGUACCUUAUGAAUAAGAGGUUGCUAACUCUGUG